GACGAACGCUGGCGGCGUGCCUAAUACAUGCAAGUAGAACGCACAGUUUAUACCGUAGCUUGCUACACCAUAGACUGUGAGUUGCGAACGGGUGAGUAACGCGUAGGUAACCUGCCUGGUAGCGGGGGAUAACUAUUGGAAACGAUAGCUAAUACCGCAUAAUCUUGAUUAUUGCAUGAUAAUUAAUUGAAAGGUGCAAUUUCACCACUACCAGAUGGACCUGCGUUGUAUUAGCUAGUAGGUGAGGUAACGGCUCACCUAGGCGACGAUACAUAGCCGACCUGGGAGGGUGAUCGGCCACACUGGGACUGGGACACGGCCCAGACUCCUACGGGAGGCAGCAGUAGGGAAUCUUCGGCAAUGGACGAAAGUCUGACCGAGCAACGCCGCGUGAGUGAAGAAGGUUUUCGGAUCGUAAAGCUCUGUUGUAAGGGAAGAACGAGUGUGAGAGUGGAAAGUUCACACUGUGACGGUAUCUUACCAGAAAGGGACGGCUAACUACGUG
rnacentral:rRNA from 1 species